GGUUGGCUCCUUCCUGAUGUUCUAGAGGAGAAUCUGUCUCAGGCCUCUCUCCCAGUUUCUUGUGGCUGCCAGCAUCCUUGGUGUCCCUUGGCAUGUAGACGCAUCACCCCAGUCUCUGCCUGCACCUUCCAUGGUGCUCUCCCCUGUGUGUAUCUCUGUCUCCUCUCCUUGUAAGGACACCAGGCAUACAGGCAUACUGGAUUAAGGCUCACCCUAAUCCUGUGUGACCUCAUCUUAAUUUGUCUACAUCUGCAAAGACCCUAUUUCCAAAUAAGGUCAAAUUCACAAGCACUGGGGGUCAGUACUUUGAUGUAUGUUUUGGGUGAACACAAUUUAACCCAUAACACUUUCUUCCCUUCUCCUGCUUUAGACAACAGCCCGGAGACGCGGGCUAAAGUGAAGUUUGUCCAGGACACUUCUAAGUAUUGGUACAAGCCUGAGAUCUCCAGGGAGCAGGCCAUCGCGCUCCUCAAGGACCAGGAGCCGGGGGCCUUCAUCAUCCGGGACAGUCACUCCUUCCGAGGCGCGUACGGGCUGGCCAUGAAGGUGUCUUCGCCACCUCCAA
rnacentral:sRNA from 1 species